AUGUCUUUAUGUGUGAGCUAUUAUGCUAUUGAUGAAAAUAUAGAAAAUUUAAUGGUUUCAAUUUCUUUUGACCAUUGGAUCAAGAAUUGUACGGUUGGGAUGAUUGCUGUCUCCUUAGGGUUCAGUAGUACCCCUAGGGUUUCGUUUGGUUCAGGGUUAAAUAAUAACUAGUUAUUUCAGGAAUAAGUAUAAGUUCAGGGUUAAGCCUGAAAUAGAUCAAUUUUGCGUUUUGAUAAAAAUUGUUUGUUUUCGAGAAUAAGAAAAAUAGCUUUUGAAUAGAUAAGAUGAAAUAAAAAGAAUAGUGGGUAAUUAUAAAUAGAAAAUAAUGAUAUUGUUCCAAAUAUUUGAAUUUAAAUUUUUAAAUUUUAUAAUUAAAAAUUUUAAAUUUAAAUAUAUAACUUUAAAAUUUUAAAAAUUCAAAAUUAAAAUUAAAAUUUUAAAUCUCAAAUUCAAAAAUUUUAAGUUCUAAAAUUUUAUUUUAAGAUUAUCCCAAUUCCAUCCCCCGCGCCCAAAAUGUUGUUUGGUCCCCCUUUAUCCCCCUCACUAUAACAAAAACGGUCUAUAGCGACACUUUUAAAUAUCGGUACAGAUCAAAAAAAGUGCUACUGGCUAAAUUACCGACACUUUUAAAAAGUGUUGCUAUAUGUGGGGUCGCUAGCUAUAUAGUAACAGUUAAAGAGUGUCAAUAUAAUCUAAAAGAGUGAUGUUAAUUUACUAACACUUAUUUAAGCAUUUAGCAACCGCCGGAACUCUACCUCGUUGGCUGCGAUGGCGGAGGAUGAGGAGAAGGAAGGGCUCUUCGUCUAGAAUUUUAGUGAAUUGAGUGAGAGGAGAAGGAGAGAUGGUAAUCGAUUUUUCUCUUUUUUUUUUUGUUUUAUGUUUGUAAUCGGGUCGAAUGGACUUGGUGGGGUAGGUUAAGUAGAGUAAUCUUUUAUUUUUGAUUGCAUUCGGCUUAAUAUUUAGGCAUUAGUAGAUUUUUUUUAAAAUUUUGACAUAAAUGAGACACUUACACAAAAGUGUCCCAAACAUGUGUCGCUAUAACCUAAUUCUGUUGUAGUGCCUCUUUAACCCUGAACCAAACAAAGUGCUAGGGUUGAGUGGUUCCCACAAGGUAAUAACAAUCCAAAGGUUAGAAAUGAUUAAAGGAGCUUAUCUAAAGGUCAAAAAGUCAGAAGCACCAGAUUCUCUAUACUUCCGAUAGUAUAGUAGCUCUACUCUUUAUAUUUAUAUUUUCUAUAUAAUCUGUUAUUUGGCGGCCCCUCUUGCCACUUGUCAUGCUCCUUUACUCCUCUCUCUCUUACUCCUCUCUUCAU
rnacentral:lncRNA from 1 species